AGGGGAGUGAAAAAGAACCUGAAACCGUGUACGUACAAGCAGUGGGAGCCCCACCACUAAGCCAGUGGUGAACUCCACAUACGCAUCCUUUGCUGAGGAUACGGUUAACGGAGCGAAAGCGACGUUCAACCGCAAAAGAAGCAGAGGGGGCUUAGUGGUGGGGUGACUGCGUACCUUUUGUAUAAUGGGUCAGCGACUUAUAUUCUGUAGCAAGGUUAACCGUAUAGGGGAGCCGUAGGGAAACCGAGUCUUAACCGGGCGUUAAGUUGCAGGGUAUAGACCCGAAACCCGGUGAUCUAGCCAUGGGCAGGUUGAAGGUUGGGUAACACUAACUGGAGGACCGAACCGACUAAUGUUGAAAAAUUAGCGGAUGACCUGUGG
rnacentral:rRNA from 1 species